rnacentral:tRNA from 1 species
GACCAGUAUUUGUCUUUGUUUUGAAAACAAGGUUAGAGUGUUUAAAGUCACUCAUUGGUUU